AAAGUACUCCCUCUGUCCCAAAAUUCUUGUCUUAGAUUUGUCUAGAUACGGAUGUAUCUAGUAGAUACAUCCGUAUCUAGACAAAUCUAAGAAAAGAAAUUUGGGACAGAGGGAGUAUUUG
rnacentral:pre_miRNA from 1 species